rnacentral:rRNA from 1 species
GCACUAAACAUGCAAGUCGAGCGAGAUCUUCGGGUCUAGCGGCGGACGGGUGAGUAACGCGUGGGAACGUGCCCUUCUCUACGGAAUAGCCUCGGGAAACUGGGAGUAAUACCGUAUACGCCCCUUGGGGGAAAGAUUUAUCGGAGAAGGAUCGGCCCGCGUUGGAUUAGGUAGUUGGUGGGGUAAUGGCCUACCAAGCCUACGAUCCAUAGCUGGUUUGAGAGGAUGAUCAGCCACACUGGGACUGAGACACGGCCCAGACUCCUACGGGAGGCAGCAGUGGGGAAUCUUAGACAAUGGGGGCAACCCUGAUCUAGCCAUGCCGCGUGAGUGAUGAAGGCCUUAGGGUUGUAAAGCUCUUUCAGCUGGGAAGAUAAUGACGGCACCAGCAGAAGAAGCCCCGGCUAACUUCGUGCCAGCAGCCGCGGUAAUACGGAGGGGCUAGCGUUGUUCGGAAUUACUGGGCGUAAAGCGCACGUAUGCGGACCAGAAAGUUUGGGGUGAAAUUC